rnacentral:misc_RNA from 1 species
GAUGAAGAACGUAGCGAAAUGCGAUAAGUAGUGUGAAUUGCAGAAUUCAGUGAAUCAUCGAAUCUUUGAACGCACAUUGCGCCCCUUGGUAUUUCAUGGGGCAUGCCUGUUCGAGCGUCAUUUUUACCCUCAAGCUUUGCUUGGUGUUGGGCGUCUUGUCGUAUUACGACUCGCCUUAAAUACAUUGGCAGCCGGCACUUUGGCCUAGGAGCGCAGCACAUUUUGCGAUCGUAGCCCGUUGUACUGGCGUCCAUCAAGAACAUUUACCACGUUUGACCUCGGAUCAGGUAGGGAUACCCGCUGAACUUAAGCAUAUCAAUAAGCGGAGGA